rnacentral:rRNA from 1 species
GACCUCAAAUCAGGUAGGACUACCCGCUGAACUUAAGCAUAUCAAUAAGCGGAGGAAAAGAAACCAACCGGGAUUGCCUCAGUAACGGCGAGUGAAGCGGCAAAAGCUCAAAUUUGGAAUCUGGCGCCCUCGGCGUCCGAGUUGUAAUUU